GGACCAUCAUGUCGGUCGUGCUUCGGUACGUACUGUCAUUACUGGUUUCUCCCUUCUGAAGAACCUUGAUGUCAUUAAUUUGGUGUCUUGGGGAAUCAGGACUGUUACUUUGAAAAAAUUAGAGUGUUUAAAGCCGGCAUACGCUUGAAUACAUUAGCAUGGAAUAAUGAAAUAGGACGUUUGAUUCUAUUUUGUUGGUUUCUAGGAUCGACGUA
rnacentral:misc_RNA from 1 species